GUGUGUUAAUGAGCUAUCUCUUGAAUUUGUCCAUUGAUCGUGUCUCAGAAAUAUUUUCUCAUUGUUUCAUCACACUGAAACUUUGGCCAAGAAAUGUUUAAAAUUCAAAGCAUUGAUAUCAAUUUCCCCCCCCUUUUUUUUUAAAAGGCAACUUACAAGAUUAAAAUUAAAUUUGGUUGAUGAUGGUUCUGGACAAAUACAGCUCUUUUAUUUGAGGUAUGCCAUUUUGAAGACAGACCCGUGGAAUUUUAUCCUUGAGGAUAGGGGAAAUCUUUGUGAAAGUCUGUAUUUUAUAAAGCAAAAAGAAUAUAUCACUAAAGGUUGUCAGUGCAACAUAAAUUGUAUACUCAUUAUCUUGAGAAAGGGAUGAGAAAAAGCCCAUCAAAUUCUUUACCUUACAUCAAAGCAGUUUUGUGUUAAAACAUUAAAACAGUUGAUACAUGUAAUUUGUAACAGAGCGAUGAGACAUUUGAUGUUUUUCAAUCAAAUGGUGCUUUAGGGUUAUGGUUAAAUCAAUAGUUGAGUCAUCAGAAUUAUGUAUCUUUACAAUCUGAAAUGUACAUUCUGUAGACAUUUUUUUGUGAUGCAGAUUACAAAUGACCUAGAAUUUUGUAGUUGCAGCUCUUAUGAUUCUAAGGAACUAUAUUUCAAAAGCUAAAUACACUUUCAUAUUCUAGUUAUUAUGUAGUGAAUUUAAAAUUCUGAUUUUUUUUCUGUUUUUAUGAGUUCGCUUUCAAAUAGGCACAAAAAUAAGUAAGUUAUCUGAUAGGAAACUAGAAUAAUACGGCUGAGGAGACCUUGAAAAAUGUAGCUUAGUCUUUUUAAAGCAUAAGAAGGAAGAAAUAAUUUCAACAUAUGUGUGAUGUUUUGACAUCUUAAAGCUAGACAUAUGAAUGAAAAAAUAUGUACAAUGAAAAUUUUCAGGAAUUAUUUCCUACUCUUAAGUUAACACUAAAUGUGGAAAUAAAUGCCAAGCCAAUAUUAGCAAGGGAUUUACCAGAGGAAAUAUGUAAUAUAAUGAGAUAUCUUGGGAAAUUUUAAGAAUAGCCAAAUAACCAACUAGUUAACAUGAGGGCAGGUUUACCUUUGUGCUUGUAAUUUUUGUGGAAUAUCUUUUAUCUGUUGUUGUUGACUUAUUCUGUUGAUACAAAUAGGUGAUAAAAAGUAUUAUUUUUUUUACCUUUGCUUUAGCUUAAUUUUUGCCUUUCAAUCCUUUUGCAAUUUGACCAAAUUUGUGUUUAUUAUAGUGUGCAAAAGGAAACCAAAUGUUAGACCUUUAUACUUUUAAAAGAUGUAGCAUAUAUAGAAAAGUCAGUAUCUUUCAUCCUAAGUUUCUUUAAUACAAAUGUCAAGUUUAGGGUUUUCUCUGUGUAAAUGAUUGGAUAUUGGAUUGGCAUUCAGAUGUGGUUAGGCAUUGCUAUAAAAAUUGAGAAUUGAGCCUCUUAAGACACAAAUAUAUUUGAAGUUUAAUGUAAAUUUAAGCAUAAAUUGACAGUAAAUUUAUAAUCGCCUACCAGAGGUAUAAUUUGACCCAUAAAAAAAGAAUAAAGAAGAUUAGAAACAUUAAAUGAAGAUUAUCCUUUUUAGUCUAGUAUUAGUAAUUAUAAAAAUAACAAAUGAUACGGUAAGUUCUACAUUAAUGUAAUAGAAUACAGCUUUCUUUUUAUUAUCAACAAGGCAAAAGUAAUAAAUUACAUUUUAAAAAGAUCUGCAUGGACUUCUGAGCCAAGCUUGUAAAAUUUGCAAUGUUUUUGAUGUAUAAAAAUAGUGGAUUCAUGAGAAUAAAAUGAAGAUACUACUUUAAAUUACUAUAUUUCAUAAAUAAUUUACUUUGCUACCAUUUUCUGCUUAAGAGCCAGAGUGAUAAAUGCUUAAAUAUUUGUUUUUAUUUUAGCAUUUUGAAUCUUGAACCAUAAAAAUCACCUGAUCAAGUUGGUGAUUGGGUUGCAUUGCAUUUGUUAGUUAUAGUAAUAACUGUUUAAAAAAUUACCCGAAGUUCCACAGAAAUGAAAGAAACCAUGCCUGUAGUUAAUACAAGGUUGUUAUGAACUAUACAUGUCACUAAGAGGCUAGAUUAUAUGAAAUUAAUCUUGGAAGGCCGUUAGGCUUACCAUUAUACCAUCAAUGUACACUGAAAUAGGUAAUUUUGAAUACAAAUUUUCUUUUAAGUUUAGUUUACUAUUACCCGAAGUUUCUUAUUUAAAAAUUUGGACUGUGGACAGCCAAUUAAUUUACCUUUUCUAUGAGAUUUAUACUUUUUUGAGAGGCUUAGGGGGAAAAAGAUAAUUUGAGGACCUCUCCAUCUCUUGCAUUGAUGAGAGGUGUGUGAUAGAGCAGAAAGUAUAACUCUGAUGCAGCAGUCAGGAGAGCUGGCUUCUAACCUAAAUUACCCUUGUGAUUUUGACGUUUUAUUCAUUGUGGCCCUUCUCUUAAUUUGUUUAAAGUAUUUGAAAUAUUCAAUUUCUUAUGAUACCUUUUUGGUCUCAAAUUGUGUGGUAAAAAUAAUAGAAUGUCUUGAUUCUCUUAAACUGCCUAAUUAUUUUUGUAGUUUUUGAAUUGCAAAUCAUGGUUGUUAUUUCUGUGGUGAAGUUAAUUUGAAUAACAAGACCUGGGUGAUAAUGUACCCAGCUUUCCUAAUUUUAGGCAUUCCAUAAUAUUAAUAAAUAGUAUAAAGCAGACAUAAUGGAAAGUUAAUCUUAAAAAGCAGUUAAGGUGUGAAAUUGUCUUUAAAAAACAAAGAUUUAGAAGGCUACAAUAAAAACAUUGUUUGAAUUUUUGCCUAGUUAUUUUAUUAAAUAAUUUAAAGAUUAGUGUAUUUAAGGUAAUUUCCACCUGACCAUCUGAUUAUAAAUGGUGAUUUAUAAUUUACAUGCUUGACAUAAUCUUUUUAAGAAGUUUCUAUUCUUCAAUGAUAAAUAUACCUCAUUUACCUUUUCCCUUACAGAUCGAGUGGCUCAAAACAGACAGUUUUCAUAUUGGCUGUUAGUGCUGAAUAUAGAUAAUUUUUAAAAUUUAAAUUCAAGGAUACUCUCAACUUUCUAAAGCAAAAACUGACUUGAUUUACGUAACAUUCAAGUAGCAUGUUUCUUACCGUUUGAUAAAGUUUUAUACAUUGUAUAAAGCUAGAUCCCUGUUUUAAAAGAUAGUUCUUUGUUUUUUGAAACUAUUCCAUUUAUUUGAAAUUGAAUAUUUCCUAAGCAAGCAAUUAUAUCCUUAAUGUGAUAGAGUCAUUUCAAUUUAGGUUAUUAAGCUAGAUAUUUUGCUUAACAUUAAUGGUUUGUGAGUUGUGAUGUUUUCUUAUAUCUGUUAAUGAAUUUAUCACUACCUUAUUUUUGUGGAAGAUUUCUUAUAUUUCACAGUACUCUCAGGUUUAAUUCUUAAUUUAAAUGUAAAAAUUGUUUUAGGGACUUUAAAAGGUGACAAAAUCAGGAGUUCCCAUCGUGGUGCAGCAGAAACAAUCCAGCUAGGAACCAAGAGGUUUUGGGUUCGGAUCCCUGCUCUGUGGGUUAAGGAUCUGGCAUUACCAUGAGCUGUGGUGUAGGUUGCAGAUGUUCAGACUUGGCGUUGCUGUGGCUGCUGUGGCAUAGGCUGGCAGCUUGGAUUGGAUCCCUAGCCUGGGAACCUCCAUAUGCUGUGGGUGCAGCCCCCCCCCCCAAAAAAAAGGUGACAAAAUAAAAUAUUCUUAGAUGCACAAAUGGGCUAGUAAUGGUAGGACUUGAUUCAGGCCAUCUUGUCUUUUAUUAUGACAAGCAAUCAAAAUUGUUAUUUGCAUUAUAGCUAUAAUUUCAUACUAAAUGAGGAUCUUUGAUACUGCAAAAUAUUAAAAAUAGGUAGGCAUGUGAGCAAAAUUAUCAACUUUGAUAGUUUGCUUAAUGUGAACUUGGUUUACCUCCCCCUUAAAAGGAGGGCUGAGUGGGCCGAGUACUGCUUUGUCAGUGUUUAGAAAGGAAAUUGUAUGGCAGGUUAAAUGGGUGUCAGUAAUCUUUGUGGUGGUACAAGAUGUGACCCAGGUCAUCUUCUGUUUUUGGUGGACUGAGCACCUUGAGCCCUAAUACUUGUACUGGUAGGUAGCCUUUUUUUCCUUUUUUUCUUUUUUUUAAAUUAGAGUACAGUUGAUUUACAAGUAGGUAGCUUUUUUGUAAGCAGGUUCUCAGACUGAUGUGAUAGAUUUCCCUCAGACUUUGCUUUCACCCAACAUUCCUUAGGUCAUUUCCACUCUUCUCUUGGGGUUUAUAUCAAUUUAUUUUACUUGGCUGAUUUAGAAUUUGUCUUUGUUCACAAACUUUUCUUUAUAAAGUCAGAUUAAAUUUGGAAGUUUAAGAAUAAAUAAUGCUGUGUUUCUUGUAAAUUGCUUCAUUUAUUAACUUCUUGGGAGGAUAUUUUAGCAUGUUGCUCUUAAAAGUAAUUUUGAAGCAGAUCUUUGCAAUAUUUCUUGGUUGUGAUUAGUCAAAAUGAUUAAAGGGAUUUAGAUUUGGUAAGAUAAUCAGGAAGUUGGCUUUAAAGUUUGAAAAUUGGAAACCUUAGUCAUGGAAAAGCAUUUGGGUAAGCAUAGUUUUAGAUUAAGUCCUAAACUUUGGCUUUCUAAAAAUCCUUACAUUGCUACACUUAAAUAGUGAACUUUUAAACAAAGCUUUUUGGGUAGUUCUAGCUAUUGUGAUUAUUAUGAUCAACUUAGGAGCAGGAGAGACUGAAAAAAGUGUAUACCUAUGUUCUCAAAAAUGUAUUUGAGAUGUAGGAAACAUCUUUCACAUGAGGUAUUUCAGUCUAACUAGUGAACUAACUAGUGAAGACUAUGGAUGUAUCCUGAUCAAGCAAAUAUUUUUGGGAAGGGUUAGUAUUGAGUAGGUCAUUGUAAGUAGUAGUACAAAAAGCUUGACAUUUUAAGAUUUCGAUCCUAGAACAGUGUUGAUUAGAGUACAUGAUAAUGUGAAAUAAUAUGGUAAUAUUAAGGAGUGAGUAAUACGGCCUUGCCAGGUUGGUAAUGGAAGUUUUCCUUUAGAAGUCUUAAAAGUAGAUUAGAUGAAAGACUAGAAAAUAAAGUAAUUCUGUGCUGUUAAGGAGUGAUAUUGGCUUUUAUAUUAAUCAGCUACCUCUCAGCUGCCCAUUAGAUCUACCUAAAGAGCCCAGACUUUACUAGGGAGUUCUUGGAGCAUGAGAAAUGUUUUUACUCUACAGGUGAGCCUUCUGAACAGUCAAAUUUAAGAUCCUCUGGAUUAGAACUUUGUUGUUUUGUUUUGUUUUGUUUUGUUUUGGAUUAGAACUUUUGGCUACAUUUAUAAAUGCACAUAUGUCUUGGUCUUUUGGAGAGUGAUCCUGAUAAGGUGUUGAAAUUUCCAAAUCUAUUUUUGUCUUUUUUGUAUGUGUACAAUUAUAUUCUUUUUGUUUUCUGCAGCAAUAUGAAUCCUGAGGCUGAAUUGUCUAAGGGGCCUGUACAGCGAAAUAGAUGUAAGUUUUACUCAAUUUACAUGUUUAAUUUGUUUUUUACUUUUACAUGUGACUUUGGAAAUUCUGAGUAAUUGAGUCAGAGUCUCUAAAAAUGUAGAAGAAUUUAGUGAAGUUCCAAGCAGUACAGAUAUAAAUCAACAUAGAUGUAUGUGGCUUAUUAUUAAAAUUUUGGUUAUUAUUCCAACCUCUUUUCCUUUCUUUACUUAAAGAGAGGUAUAAAUGGAUGGAAGGAAACUCACAUUUGAACAUUCUUCUAAUACUGCACCCUAGCUGUUGGUAAGCUCCCCAUUUUUAUAAAUAAAGUUUUAUUGGAACACAGCUAAGCUCUUUCAUUUACGUAUUAGCUGUGUCUGCUUUCUGACUACAGCUGCAGAGAGUAGAUUUAGCUAAUGGCCACAAACCCUAACAUAUUUAGUUAUUUAGUAUUUUAACCUGUAAGGAAAUCUUGCCUAUCCUUUCCCUAGAUUCAUCCUUUUUGUCAACUUUAUGUAGAACUCAAAAGCACUUGGAUUCUCUUAAUAAUGGGGGUGUACCUUUUACUUUGUUAGUAUUUCAUUGUUAGAAUUCAAAUAACAUAAGUAAUCAUGAGCUUGGCUUAAACUCCAAAGCCCAACAAAGGUUCUUUCACACCAGCAUUAUGCUUUAAUAUUAGAAGAUUUGGGGAGUUCCCGGUGUGGCACAGUGGAAAUGAAUCAACUAGUAUAGUAUCCAUGAGGAUUUGGGUUCUAUCCCCGGCCUCACUCAGUGGAUUAAGGAUUUGGAGUUGCUGUGAGCUGUGGUGUAGGCCAGCAGCUGCAGCUCUGAUUCGACCCCUAGUCUAGGAACUUCCUUAUGACACAGGUAUGGCC
rnacentral:lncRNA from 1 species